rnacentral:rRNA from 1 species
GCAAAUUUCCUUGUCGUCCUAAUAACGACCUGCAUGAAACAUAGAACGAUUCGAUAGCUGUCUUGCACACACAUCAUGGUAAAAUAUUCAUCAGUACAAAUAAUAUGCUGCCGAAGUCGAGUGACACUAAAGGACAAAAAGACCCUCUGAAGCUUUAUAGGGAUAAAACUUGGUAACAUCGCGAUCUAAAUUAUCUUAUUGCAUCCCAGCUAAAGUGGUGGAGAUCGCGAUAUUUCUUAAGACCACUGUUUAAUUGGGGCGAUAACCUUAUCCACAGCCACCUAAGGUGAACAAAGCGAUACAAGGAUCCUAAAUACUAAUUUGACCAACUAAUAAGUGCAAAGAUACAUGUUUCGCUUAAUGGCCCAACAAGUCCUUCCCAGUACUUAAAUGCUAUCUUAAUGAGCUUUAAAUUAAUCUACCCGAGUGAAGCUACUCUACGGAUAACAGGCUUAAUUUCCGCAAUACCCAAGGUCACAUUAUCAAGAAAAAUGCACAUCGAUGUCGGCUU